rnacentral:miRNA from 1 species
AAGUGAGGAUGAGAUUGAGAGAGA